GAUGAACGCUGGCGGCGUGCCUAACACAUGCAAGUCGAGCGAAGCGGGGACGGGUGAGUAACACGUGGAUAACCUCCUAUAAGACUGGGAUAACUUCGGGAAACCGGAGCUAAACCGGAUAAUUAUAGAUGGAGCCGCGUUGCAUUAGCUAGUGGGUAAGGUAACGGCUUACCAAGGCAACGAUGCAUAGCCGACCUGAGAGGGUGAUCGGCCACACUGGAACUGAGACACGGUCCAGACUCCUACGGGAGGCAGCAGUGGGGAAUCUUCCACAAUGGGCGAAAGCCUGACGGAGCAACGCCGCGUGGGUGAUGAAGGUCUUCGGGUCGUAAAACUCUGUUAGUAGGGAGGCGGUACCUAAACAGAAAGCCCCGGCUAACUACGUGCCAGCAGCCGCGGUAAUAC
rnacentral:rRNA from 1 species